UGGAAUCUUUGAGGCAAAUGAGGUAUUGUAUCGGGGUCUCAUUUUCGACUUACCCUUGUUGCUUUCUCAAGUUCUGUAAUAUACGUCAUGGAUUUUGUGUAAAUGAAACCUUUACUUUAAGAUUCAGUGACUUCUGGUUUCAACCUUGUGUUACAUCUUAUGUUCAAAAAAGAUCUUGUAGGUUUUUUCUUGCCAGUUGCUGAUUUUCUUUUAAACUUAAACAAAAAAGUUAAGUGACAGGUUGAGCAAGUGAGAGAUUAUUGAUCAAGAAUUGGCUUUCAGGUUAAGGUUGGUUGCUGCACCGUGGAUGUUCUCAAGCAAAUCAGCGGAGAAGAGAUAUCACGAACUGCAGCAGAUGGAAAACCAAUUGAUCGUAUGAGUAGACUUGCAAACCAUAUCCUCAACCAACAAAGCUUCUAUCCACUUUACCCACCCGCAGAAAGUGUCCCCUUGGACUUUUCGCUUGCUCCAGAAGCCCUUAAGCUUUCAUUGGUUCCGGACGUACUUAUCCUACCUUCAGACAUCAAG
rnacentral:sRNA from 1 species